CUUUUCACUACUUUCAAGAGUACUACCAAUCGCCCUGGGAUUCACUCCGGUGAAGAGUCGACCAAAGAUGAGAAAAAUGCUAUUGAAAAAUCGCCACAAUAAUAGGGAUUUUCCGGUGUAGAAUGAUUGCUCUCACAGGAUUUAUUGGUGGAGACCGCGACAGAGCAGGAUGGCUCAGUCAGUAAUAUCACCGUGCAGCCCACAGUUUUUCAGGCAUUGACACUAGCAGUACGUAAAGCGAGUCAAUCUAUAUGCAGUUAAGAAGAAAACGAUAAUAGAAGAUCCUUGCUUU